rnacentral:rRNA from 1 species
AACGUAGGAGACAAACGUUAUCCGGAGUUACUGGGCGUAAAGGGCGUGUAGGUGGUUCUGUAAGUCUGGCGUGAAAUUUCUCGGCUUAACCGAGGCAGGUCGUCGGAUACUGCAGGACUAGAGGACGGUAGAGGCGUGUGGAAUUCCGGGUGUAGUGGUGAAAUGCGUAGAGAUCCGGAGGAACACCAGUGGCGAAGGCGACACGCUGGGCCGUACCUGACACUGAUGCGCGACAGCAUGGGGAGCAAACAGG